rnacentral:rRNA from 1 species
UUGGAGGGCAAGUCUGGUGCCAGCAGCCGCGGUAAUUCCAGCUCCAAUAGCGUAUAUUAAAGUUGUUGCAGUUAAAAAGCUCGUAGUUGAAUUUCGGGGUCAGUAGGUCGGUCGUGCCACUGGUAUGAGCUGGUUUUACUGAUUCCUCCCUCUUGAAGAACUGUAAUGCCAUUAAUUUGGUGUUGCAGGGAAUCAGGACUGUUACUUUGAAAAAAUUAGAGUGUUUAAAGCAGGCUUUAGCUUGAAUACAUUAGCAUGGAAUAAUGAAAUAGGACGUUUGAUCCUAUUUUGUUGGUUUCUAGGAUUGACGUAAUGAUUAAUAGGGAUAGUUGGGGGCAUUAGUAUUCAAUUGUCAGAGGUGAAAUUCUUGGAUUUAUUGGAGACUAACUACUGCGAAAGCAUUUGCCAAGGAUGUUUUCAUUAAUCAAGAACGAAAGUUAGGGGAUCGAAGACGAUCAGAUACCGUCGUAGUCUUAACCAUAAACUAUGCCGACUAGGGAUCGGAUGAUGUUAAUUUUUUAAUGACUCAUUCGGCGCCUUACGGGAAAC